UUUGAACUUGAUUGUCAUUGAAGUCUACUGACGUUUGCUGGGGGCAAAGGAAAUGGCACCGACCGAUGGGGAUUCUGCUGCGCGUCAAGACGUGUCAGUUCAUCCAGCCCAUGCGAUAACACAGAUGCCACUUUGUCUGGACGCACUGCUUUUCAGCAUGGGCCCGUUCCCUGAGACAAGGUUUGGAAUGACUCAUUCUCCCAUGGAGCCAGGCUUCUUCUCAGGGUCUGUAAAUUCUCCAGCAGAUUUUUGUGGAAUGAUGUUGUUCUGCACUUCUUCCAGGACCGUCCAGCAAUUAUGUAAGAUGGGACUGUAUUUUUGUACUUUUUUGCUCUUUUCAAAAAACCGCAGCUUCAAGGACACAGAACCUUUCAGUUUCCUUAUGCCUUGAAUUCUGAAUUUCUACAUAUAAUUCAAGAUAAGGAUUUACUCUUCAGUAUGUAGAAAGUGGACUGCAAUGGAAAGAAAGACAGUCCUUGCAAAGACUGCUAUGGCCGGUCUGUCAGAAUUGGAUACAAGAAAAUUAAACAGAAAACAGAA